rnacentral:lncRNA from 1 species
AGAACAAAAAAAAUGUGCAUCGAAACGAAGAAUGAAGAAGCUUAAGCUUUACUUUCAAAGUGGGGUCAGGAUCGGGAGAGAUGAGGAUGUCAACGAGGGAGCUAACAAGGGUGUCAAACUUGGAGCGGAGCCAGGUCUUGUAGAUGAUUUCAGCAUCGUCGUUGGAAUGAGGAGUCUUGGAGGAGGUGGAGGAAGAAGGGAGUUGAGGGAGGAGAGGAGUGAAGAACGACUGGAGAGAGAGAAGGGAUUCAAGAACGAACUGAGGAGGUGAUUCAGGGAAGAUGAACUCGAGGAGGAGAGGGAGGUUGUUGACGUGACUUCUGGAAGAGAGCAGCUGCUGGCCGAGAGCUUUGAGUUCCUUAAGUGAGUGCUUGGACUUCGAUUUAUUCUUGGACUUCUGCUUCUUGUUCGCCGGACUAGUCAUGUUUUACGUCGACGGAAGCGGCAGGGAGGAGAUGAGAGUUGGAAGUACGAACGGAAGAUGGGAGGGUUUUAGGUUUUGCUUUCAGGUCGUUGGUAGGAGGAGGAAAGGGUAAGUGGUUUAGGCUUUAUUUUUGGCAAUUAACAGAAAUAUUGAGCUUUUUAGUUUUCGGUCAAUUCAUUAGUCCGGCCCAAAAGUGAAAGGCAUUGAUUGUGUAAACUGGGCCGGCCAUUCCUGGUGGUGGUGGUAUCGGUAUAUCAAAUGCGACUCCCACUAUCAAUAUAUUUGAUAAGAAUUUAACUGAUAUUGUUGUCGGUCAUUUUGUCUCUUAAUUACCCCUUCGACUUCCAUUGGAGUAUGUCUCUUCCUCCAAUCUCAAGGGCUUACAGUAGAGUUUUCGGCCACCACCUCUCCAAUUUUCUCAUGGUGGGUGUCGGCUGUCCGAGCCAUCAUCGUCCCACAGCGAUUUUCCUUGGCAUCAUCCCUAAUUUCUAGGGUUUUUUACUCUGGCAGUUGGUUCUGGGCGGUUUCCAUGGGAGUUAUCCCAAUGCUUAUAAUUGGCUCCAGUAUGGAGGCAUUGCCGUCUCAAAUUUCCAAUAUGGUCAUUUCAAUGGACUUUACCGAAGCGAAUGUGCAAUCCAGUAGGGACCGAUGCAAAUUGAGCCUCAUCGGGUAAGUUUUCUAGCCCAUGCUGAAACCAACGCAUGCUGUUCAUCAAGAAAUGGUGCGGCAGUGGAAAUUGAAUCCGUGGGAUUUGUUUGUCUCCUCUGCAGGGCAUGGUCUCUUGCAAUUUGUUUUCUUGACUCUGGCAAUUCGAGACUCGAUUCUUCAGGACUAGUUGUGGAGUUCCAAGUCAUGCAUUGUCACUCUGGCUCCGUGGGAACUUCCAUCACAGGACCUUUUUGAUAAACUACAAUUCAUGGAUAUGACAAUUCAACUGGUGGUCCCCACUCACUAUUGUUCGGCGGAUUUUGGCGCUAAGCUUGUUAGUUCGCUGGGUUUGGUGCAACAAACAGCGGUAUAUGAAUCCCUACUAUUUGAAUAUGAAUCCCCUAUUAUUUGAAUGAAUGAGACGUAGCCUAAAUUAAGUAAAUUACUAAAUUAUUUUUUAAUGAAUUUUGAAAACUUAUACGAACUUUAAUUUUCGAUAAAGUUAAUCAUUCUCAUGUUCAUGGCGAUAACUCGUACAUCCAACCGAUACUUUAAGUAUUGAAAUUAACGAAUCGAUCUAAACGAAUUAAGAGAUUUAAUUAAAUUUGAAAUAAAAUUAAAAAAUAAAACCGAACAGACCAACCGGACGGACCGAUUUUCCCUCCGGUCAGACUAUCCGAACGGAGCGAUUUUCCGUUCGGUCAGACCACCCGGACGGAAAUCCGGUCCUUCUGGUUAUUCUCGUCGUAAUUUGUCCUCGACAUGAAUAUGAAAGUUGUAGUCAAUCGAACUAGCUUUCCAAUGCUGCCGUUCUUGCAUAAAUUAGACUUCAGAACGAUCAGUUAUGUUAAAAAUACUAAACUAAAACGUUUUUCGACCAAGCCGUUUAUUAGAGUUAGUGUUUAGGGUUUAGGGUUUAGGGUUGAGGGGUUAUUGUUUAGGGUUUAGGGUUUAGAGGUUAGUGUUUAGGAUUUAGGGUUUAGAUUUUAGUGGUUAGGGUUUAGGGUUUAGGGUUUAGAGUUUAGAGUUUAGGGUUCAGGGUUUAGGGUUUAACCAAGUCUGGAAGAUACGCCAACAGGUAGGAAACUAGAGCUACUUACAAUGUUGUGGAUUAACCUGUGAUAUAUGGCAGAAUGAAACGUCCCUCUAUUCCCAACCUUAACAAACUCCAUGAUCGAAUCCAAAACAACUUCCUGGAAUAAAAGCAAAUUCCAGCAGGGUGAGCAGAAGAACAAAAAAAAUGUGCAUCGAAACGAAGAAUGAAGAAGCUUAAGCUUUACUUUCAAAGUGGGGUCAGGAUCGGGAGAGAUGAGGAUGUCAACGAGGGAGCUAACAAGGGAGUCACACUUGGAGCGGAGCCAGGUCUUGUAGAUGAUUUCAGCAUCGUCGUUGGAAUGAGGAGUCUUGGAGGAGGUGGAGGAAGAAGGGAGUUGAGGGAGGAGAGGAGUGAAGAACGACUGGAGAGAGAGAAGGGAUUCAAGAACGAGCUGAGGAGGUGAUUCAGGGAAGAUGAACUCGAGGAGGAGAGGGAGGUUGUUGACGUGACUUCUGGAAGAGAGCAGCUGCUGGCCGAGAGCUUUGAGUUCCUUAAGUGAGUGCUUGGACUUCGAUUUAUUCUUGGACUUCUGCUUCUUGUUCGCCGGACUAGUCAUGUUUUACGUCGACGGAAGCGGCAGGGAGGAGAUGAGAGUUGGAAGUACGAACGGAAGAUGGGAGGGUUUUAGGUUUUGCUUUCAGGUCGUUGGUAGGAGGAGGAAAGGGUAAGUGGUUUAGGCUUUAU